rnacentral:rRNA from 1 species
GAUGAACGCUGGCGGCGUGCCUAAUACAUGCAAGUCGAGCGAACAGACGAGGAGCUUGCUCCUUUGACGUUAGCGGCGGACGGGUGAGUAACACGUAGGUAACCUACCUAUAAGACUGGGAUAACUUCGGGAAACCGGAGCUAAUACCGGAUAAUAUUUCGAACCGCAUGGUUCGAUAGUGAAAGAUGGCUUUGCUAUCACUUAUAGAUGGACCUGCGCCGUAUUAGCUAGUUGGUAAGGUAACGGCUUACCAAGGCAACGAUACGUAGCCGACCUGAGAGGGUGAUCGGCCAAAAUGGAACUGAGACACGGUCCAGACUCCUAAGGGAGGCAGCAGUAGGGAAUCUUCCGAAAUGGGCGAAAGCCUGACGGAGCAACGCCGCGUGAGUGAUGAAGGUCUUCGGAUCGUAAAACUCUGUUAUUAGGGAAGAACAAACGUGUAAGUAACUGUGCACGUCUUGACGGUACCUAAUCAGAAAGCCACGGCUAACUACGUG